UACUCUACGCUUUUGGGAACGAGCAAUCAUACAAAGCCACUCGGUUCCAUAGCCGUUGAGUAGA
rnacentral:pre_miRNA from 1 species